GACAAUAUGAUGUAGUGGUUGGUAUGUUGGACUAGAACACUGAGAGUCCAGGGUUCAAAUCCCUGCCCGGUCA